GCCCGGUUAGCUCAGAUGGUAGAGCAUCAGACUUUUAAUCACAGGUUCAUGGGUUCGAGCCCCAUAUCGGGCG
rnacentral:tRNA from 1 species